rnacentral:lncRNA from 1 species
UUAUUUAAUUAUAAAUGUAUAAUUAAUAAGGAAUAAAAAUAAGCGUCAAAAUUAAAGUUUGAGAUAAUUACGAUAUCUUUACAUAAAGUUUUAGUGGUCGAAACAAGGAUUCCGAGGAUNGAAUAAAUAAUCUUAACCAAGUUGUAGAAUACGUCUCAAGGGUUUUGUACAUAUAAAGAACACCGAAAUCCGAGUUAUAACGAAGAAGUUAUGGUCCGCCGAAGUUUUACGGCAAAACCGGUACGACACCGGGAGACGUAAAUAGUGAAUUUACGAUGGAGGACUUUUUAGCCUUAGUGAUCCAAACGAAAGUAGUAGAAUAUGUUAAACCGAGAAAAUCCAUAAAAAGAACGCCCAAAUCUGACUUCGUAUGAAAAAGUUAUGAUUUUUCUAAGAUUCGACUUAGCAGUGCACGACCCGAAACUCGAAUUUU